rnacentral:rRNA from 1 species
CGGAUUGGAGUCUGNAACCCGACUCCAUGAAGCUGGAUUCGCUAGUAAUCGCGCAUCAGCCACGGCGCGGUGAAUACGUUCCCGGGCCUUGUACACACCGCCCGUCAAGCCAUGGAAGCCGGGGGUGCCUGAAGUGCGCUGCCGCAAGGAGCGCCCUAGGGUAAAGCCGGUGACGUGGGGCUAAGUCGUAACAAGGUAGC